ensembl:lncRNA
AACAAGCCCCACCCAUACCGGCCCGUAGCACAUCUUGGUACCUAAGCAGUCCUUCAGCUUCAGAAACAGAGUCCACUUGUACAGAGCAAGGGUGUCAUUGGCCAGGAACCCACCCAGACAAAAAGUACACCAGCCCCGCAAUCGUACGAAAAUUUGAAGCAAUGCUUCAAGAAAAUGAGGGGAAAAUUCUGACAGACUCUGGGAAUGUAGCCUGCACCGUGUCUGUUGAUUCCAAGUGCAAUAUCAGCUGCUGCCAGAGCCGCUGGUCCUGCGAAGGAAGAAGAUUUGGCAGCAACAAGUCAUCCAGAUAUGUACCUGUUAAGCAAUGUCUCUCCAAUGUGGACAUUGCAGCUGCAUCCUCAGUUCGCAGUCUAAACCAAAUAGAUGAGCAAAACAGUUUCAAGGGUGCAUCUCAUCCCAUGAGCAUGCCUACAGAUUCUGUUGCAUCACUAGACUUUAUUUCGCCAUAUCCCAGUACUACAGCUACUCCCAGAAAUGAGAGACUUGAAAAGAAAACUGCAGAGUUCAACCGUGCGCUCUUCCAGGCAGGGAUGGGCGUUCAGUGUGAUGAGGACAUUUCCAUGACUGUAUCCACUAAUUCUUCUGACAGUCUUCCAGAGGUCACAUCAAAGGACACACUUAUAGACAGUCCUUCGAGGCACGUUGAAGACAAUCCAAAGGGUUUCCUAUUGGAUCUUGUGGCACAGUGCCCAAAAGAGGAGGGAAGAAGGAAGGAAACAAAGGACCUUGUCACUAACUCUUCAUCUCUGCAGCAGGAACUUAGUCUAAAGCAAGACAGUGAAGGUAAGCCUUUACAGACUGCAUCAACUUCAGCUGACCAGCUUGUCCCAAGUGUUGGAGAAAAACUCUUUGAACUAGGUGUAAGUCCACCACUAUUGCAAACCCAAAUGGAAAGGUCCAGUAAAGUUCUGAAUGUUGGUACAGACCAACAACAAGCAGACAAAAGGCCCAAACAUGCAAAAAAGGACACCAGGUCUCGGAUUCUAGAUGAAAAUCCAUGGAAGCCUUCUACGCUAGCGGCCUAUCCUCGUC